UGGGCAUCCUCUUUGACACAAUCUCUCGCAUGUCUUCUCUAUUGUUUUUUUUUUUUGGAUAUUUUGCUGCAAUUGAUGUCACUAGUGGAGGUCAUCCAUGCAGCCAUCGGUAGGUUCCUUUUUCUUAAAUCAUACAUUUCAUCAAAUGAUAUGUGACCUUUGUUUAUUUUGUCCUGUAAUUUUUUCAUAGGAUUAUUACUUGUUGUGGCCAAUCUAAGUGUGCGCC
rnacentral:lncRNA from 1 species